GUUGGAGUGGCAGAGCCCGGUUAUGCAGAGGGCCUAAGAUCCUCCGACGAAGGUUCAAAUCCUUCCCCCAACU
rnacentral:tRNA from 1 species